UACUCGGGUUUUCCCCUUCAAACCGAAUAAAUCUUUCGCCUUUACUAAAGAUUUCCGGGAGGGGAACAAUUGAUGAGUCUAAAAUAUUUUUUGGUACCAGAAAAAAAACUGGG
rnacentral:snRNA from 1 species